UUGGGGUGUGACUGCGUACCUUUUGUAUAAUGGGUCAGCGACUUAUAUUCUGUAGCAAGGUUAACCGUAUAGGGGAGCCGGAGGGAAACCGAGUCUUAACCGGGCGUUAAGUUGCAGGGUAUAGACCCGAAACCCGGUGAUCUAGCCAUGGGCAGGUUGAAGGUUGGGUAACACUAACUGGAGGACCGAACCGACUAAUGUUGAAAAAUUAGCGGAUGACCUGUGGCUGGGGGUGAAAGGCCAAUCAAACCGGGAGAUAGCUGGUUCUCCCCGAAAGCUAUUUAGGUAGCGCCUCGUGAAUUCAUCUCCGGGGGUAGAGCACUGUUUCGGCUAGGGGGCCAUCCCGGCUUACCAACCCGAUGCAAACUGCGAAUACCGGAGAAUGUUAUCACGGGAGACACACGGCGGGUGCUAACGUCCGUCGUGAAGAGGGAAACAACCCAGACCGCCAGCUAAGGUCCCAAAGUCAUGGUUAAGUGGGAAACGAUGUGGGAAGGCCCAGACAGCCAGGAUGUUGGCUUAGAAGCAGCCAUCAUUUAAAGAAAGCGUAAUAGCUCACUGGUCGAGUCGGCCUGCGCGGAAGAUGUAACGGGGCUAAACCAUGCACCGAAGCUGCGGCAGCGACGCUGAUGCGUUGUUGGGUAGGGGAGCGUUCUGUAAGCCUGCGAAGGUGGCCUGUGAGGGUUGCUGGAGGUAUCAGAAGUGCGAAUGCUGACAUAAGUAACGAUAAAGCGGGUGAAAAGCCCGCUCGCCGGAAGACCAAGGGUUCCUGUCCAACGUUAAUCGGGGCAGGGUGAGUCGACCCCUAAGGCGAGGCCGAAAGGCGUAGUCGAUGGGAAACGGGUUAAUAUUCCCGUACUUGGUGUUACUGCGAAGGGGGGACGGAGAAGGCUAUGUUGGCCGGGCGACGGUUGUCCCGGUUUAAGCGUGUAGGUGUGUGUUCCAGGUAAAUCCGGUUCACUUUAACACUGAGGCGUGAUGACGAGGCACUACGGUGCUGAAGCAACAAAUGCCCUGCUUCCAGGAAAAGCCUCUAAGCAUCAGGUAACAUCAAAUCGUACCCCAAACCGACACAGGUGGUCAGGUAGAGAAUACCAAGGCGCUUGAGAGAACUCGGGUGAAGGAACUAGGCAAAAUGGUGCCGUAACUUCGGGAGAAGGCACGCUGACA
rnacentral:rRNA from 1 species